CAGUCGCCGCGGUAAUACGUAGGUGGCAAGCGUUGUCCGGAAUUAUUGGGCGUAAAGGGCUCGCAGGCGGUUUCUUAAGUCUGAUGUGAAAGCCCCCGGCUCAACCGGGGAGGGUCAUUGGAAACUGGGAAACUUGAGUGCAGAAGAGGAGAGUGGAAUUCCACGUGUAGCGGUGAAAUGCGUAGAGAUGCGGAGGAACACCAGUGGCGAAGGCGACUCUCUGGUCUGUAACUGACGCUGAGGAGCGAAAGCGUGGGGAGCGAACAGGAUUAGAUACCCGUGUAGUCCCUGUCUCUUAUAC
rnacentral:rRNA from 1 species